rnacentral:pre_miRNA from 1 species
AAAAAAACAAACCAUGGAUUUCUGUAUCUAAUGUUUGACCGUCCGUCUUAUUUGAAAAAAUUAUAAAAAAAAUUAAAAAAAUAAGUCACGCAUAAAGUAUUAAUCAUAUUUUAUCAUCUAACAACAAUGAAAAUACUAAUUAUAAAAAAUUUCAUAUAAGACGCACAGUCAAACGUUGGACACGGAAACUCAGGGUUUGUCUUUUU